CCAAAAGGCUGACACCCACUCCUCCUAGAACCCUACCAUAACUCACCAUCCUACAAGAGCUUCCUUCUGUUUGGGAUAGAACUUCGGUGGCCUGCAUGCUAGCCAUGAAGCCUUACGAUGGCCUUUUCCUAACCAUAACAACCACUUAUUUCCACUUCAUUUACUUUACAUUUCCCUCUCCUCAUAAGAUUUCAGCAAACC
rnacentral:lncRNA from 1 species